GUAGGUGGCAAGCGUUGUCCGGAAUUAUUGGGCGUAAAGCGCGCGCAGGCGGUUCUUUAAGUCUGAUGUGAAAGCCCACGGGCUCAACCGUGGAGGGUCGUUGGAAACUGGAGAACUUGAGUACAGAAGAGGAAAGCGGAAUUCCACGUGUAGCGGUGAAAUGCGUAGAGAUGUGGAGGAACACCAGUGGCGAAGGCGGCUUUCUGGUCUGUAACUGACGCUGAGGCGCGAAAGCGUGGGGAGCAAACAGGAUUAGAUACCCUGGUAGUCCACGCCGUAAACGAUGAGUGCUAAGUGUUAGGGGGUAUCCGCCCCUUAGUGCUGCAGCUAACGCAUUAAGCACUCCGCCUGGGGAGUACGGCCGCAAGGCUG
rnacentral:rRNA from 1 species